GGCCUGGUGGUGUAUCGCAACACACCCGCUGCAUAUGACGGUGAAGACGAUUGUUAAGCGGGAAUCCCUUGUUCGACUCAAGGCUAGGCCA